GAUGAACGCUGGCGGCGUGCCUAAUACAUGCAAGUCGAGCGAACAGACGAGGAGCUUGCUCCUCUGACGUUAGCGGCGGACGGGUGAGUAACAUGUGGAUAACCUACCUAUAAGACUGGGAUAACUUCGGGAAACCGGAGCUAAUACCGGAUAAUAUAUUGAACCGCAUGGUUCAAUAGUGAAAGACGGUUUUGCUGUCACUUAUAGAUGGAUCCGCGCCGCAUUAGCUAGUUGGUAAGGUAACGGCUUACCAAGGCAACGAUGCGUAGCCGACCUGAGAGGGUGAUCGGCCACACUGGAACUGAGACACGGUCCAGACUCCUACGGGAGGCAGCAGUAGGGAAUCUUCCGCAAUGGGCGAAAGCCUGACGGAGCAACGCCGCGUGAAUGAUGAAGGUCUUCGGAUCGUAAAACUCUGUUAUUAGGGAAGAACAAAUGUGUAAGUAACUAUGCACGUCUUGACGGUACCUAAUCAGAAAGCCACGGCUAACUACGUG
rnacentral:rRNA from 1 species